AGACUGGAUCCAUGCAUGUAAUAACCCGAUGAUUGUAGCAUCAGAAUAGAAUUGUUGGGAGCAAGCAUUUCGGGAUCAUGUAGGUGAAAAGGCUGCUCAAUGGUGCCCCGGCCUUGAAAAGUAAUGAUCUGAUUUUGUUGGGCCGAGAAAAAAAACAAGUGUUUGUGCCGAAGAUCUGAUUAUCCAGAGGGUAGCAAGGAACAUGGAAACAACCAAGACCAAGGGCAGGGAAGAGAGGUAGAGGCAAAGGCGGGCCGGUAAUUCAAAAUGGGUUUUGAAAUCGGUGAGACUCAAAAAAUUGUUGAUACGGGGCCGCCUAUGUUUGUGAUAAUCUAUUGGAUCAUGACUGCAUCUUGUAUAUAAACACUCCUUUUUUUUUCCAUGUUAAUGUUGUUUCAAA